GGAAUUACUGGGCGUAAAGCGCACGCAGGCGGUCUGUCAAGUCGGAUGUGAAAUCCCCGGGCUCAACCUGGGAACUGCAUUCGAAACUGGCAGGCUUGAGUCUUGUAGAGGGGGGUAGAAUUCCAGGUGUAGCGGUGAAAUGCGUAGAGAUCUGGAGGAAUACCGGUGGCGAAGGCGGCCCCCUGGACAAAGACUGACGCUCAGGUGCGAAAGCGUGGGGAGCAAACAGGAUUAGAUACCCUGGUAGUCCACGCCGUAAACGAUGUCUACUUGGAGGUUGUGCCCUUGAGGCGUGGCUUCCGGAGCUAACGCGUUAAGUAGACCGCCUGGGGAGUACGGCCGCAAGGUUAAAACUCAAAUGAAUUGACGGGGGCCCGCACAAGCGGUGGAGCAUGUGGUUUAAUUCGAUGCAACGCGAAGAACCUUACCUGGUCUUGACAUCCACAGAACUUUCCA
rnacentral:rRNA from 1 species